GCCCGCUCAAGAAACUUAAGGAAUUGACGGGGGCCCGCACAAGCGGUGGAGUAUGUGGUCUAAUUCGAUGCAACGCGAAGAACCUUACCUGGUCUUGACAUCCCGGAGACCCUUAGGAAACUAGGGGGUGCUUCCAUCUGGAAGAAUCUGGAGACAGGUGCUGCAUGGCUGUCGUCAGCUCGUGUCGUGAGAUGUUGGGUUAAGUCCCGCAACGAGCGCAACCCUUGCCUUUAGUUGCCAGCAGUUCGGCUGGGCACUCUAAAGGGACUGCCGGUGUUAAACCGGAGGAAGGUGGGGAUGACGUCAAGUCCUCAUGGCCUUUAUGACCAGGGCUACACACGUACUACAAUGGCCGAUACAAAGGGCAGCGACACUGCGAGGUGAAGCCAAUCCCGUAAAAUCGGUCUCAGUCCGGAUUGGAGUCUGCAACUCGACUCCAUGAAGUUGGAAUCGCUAGUAAUCGUGGAUCAGCAUGCCACGGUGAAUACGUUCCCGGGCCUU
rnacentral:rRNA from 1 species